UCAACCUGUUUCUUGCUCUCCGUCAAGUGGCAGACGGGCACUGGCAGAGGGCCAGUCCUGGAGAAAGAGAGCAAGCAUUGCAUGCUUCCUGCUAUCUCAGGCCCUCGGCUUAAUCUGUGUUGGGAGUUUAAUAGAGUGAGGUUACCAGUACAGUAACAGUUUAUGGUGUCACGUGGCUCGGGUGGGGGAGGGGGCAGUGAUCCAGGGAGGUCGCCACACUGCCUGGUCUGGAAAAGGCCACAAGGAAGUUCCGCUGUUGGUCAGAAGGAAUGAGGGCAGCUAGAUCACAGCAGGUAUCUACUGGAGAAGACUACUUACUUGGAUAUGGAUUUAAGCCGGUAGAAAGUCAUUAUUAACUGGCUGGUGACUAUACCUGGUGGUUCCCAGUGUAGCCCUGAACCUUUUUCAGGGUGAACUUGUAAGUACAAAAACUCUGGUUGUGUCAUACCUCAGCAAGAACUGCUAAUCAGAAGGGGAGCUACAGAAGCCAAAAGCAAGAACAAAGUAAGUUUAUGCAGGGUGAUGGUGACUGUAGCUGGGUGUUGUGGAGCAGACUGAAGCACCACUACACUCUCAACUUCUGAUGAACCCAGCUGCCACAUGGGAAGGUCCCACCCAUCACCUGCCUCUGAUGUGGGAUGCAGCCUUUAACUUAGUGCUGACCAGAGAAAUGGGACUGCAUUGCCACUGCGUCUUCCAGCCGAGUAAACUCAGAAAUUGACUGUCCAGCUUCAAAAGGCACUGGAUUUGGGUUGAUGUUGGGCGCAAACCCUUUUUGUUUCUAAAGAUGGUAUCUGGCUUUUCUCAACCACUGUAAUUUGAUGUGGCAAGACUGUCAUCUCAGAGUCUACAUUAUAGCAGCUGCUUUUUGUCACAUGGUUCUUCUUUGAAGUCUGAGAUCAGAAACCACAUCACUGUGGAA